GUCCACGCCCUAAACGAUGUCAACUGGUUGUUGGGUCUUCACUGACUCAGUAACGAAGCUAACGCGUGAAGUUGACCGCCUGGGGAGUACGGCCGCAAGGUUGAAACUCAAAGGAAUUGACGGGGACCCGGCACAAGCGGUGGGAUGAUGUGGGUUUUAAAUUUCGAUGCAACGCGAAAACCUUAACCCACCUUUGUACAUGUACGGAAGUUACCAGAGAUGGUUUCGUUGCUCGAAAGAGACCGUAACACAGGUGCUGCAUGGCUGUCGU
rnacentral:rRNA from 1 species